rnacentral:lncRNA from 1 species
CUCCCUUGGACAUCCAACAUCCUCCUCUUUGGGCAUCCAUCUUCUUCACACCCAUAAGGGCUUUGGGCAUCCACCUCUUGUACUUAUUUCUAGUUCUUGGUAGUAGCAUAAUCAUGGAAAGAAAAGCAAGUGAAGAAGAGAAGAAGAAGAUCAAGGAAAGGAUCAAAGCGUUGAUCGCGAUCCAGGCUUCGUUCAGAUUCGCAGGUUGAUUUUUCAUGGAGAAAAAAAAUCAAUUUUAAGAGGACUGUUCCAGGCUAAUCUUGAGUGGAUACCCAUAGAGAUCAGGUACUUGCAUGG